UGGAUCGAUGAUGAAUUUUGGUCAUCAUGAUGACUAUUCGAUGAAUACACGUGAAAAUCUGAGGUCCAA